CUCUCCCUGUCUCUCUCUCUCUUUCAUUCUUUCGAACAAACAAACAAACAAAUAAUUUCUAUAAAAAUUACCCUGCAGUGGGUUACAAGUCCAGGCCAUGACACAGACAAUUUACUUAGAAUAUCUGAUGGAAGAGGGUGGGACUCCACAUCAUUUGUUUUAAAUUCUCAGAAGCUCCUCCAGGCCAAGGCUGCCAAUAGCAUGUUCAUCAGGACACAGGUAUCCGUAACCUGGUGUUGACCUCCUGUAGUUAAGAAUGACAAAACGAAUUCUGUUUUGCUGUUGCUGUAGUUUAAAAGUCAGGUUUUCCAUUGGAAUGGGAAACAAAUGCCAAGUUUAUUUUAAAGUACUCUUGAUCUGCCUAAUACUAGGAAGUGUAGAAAAUACAGUCUAUUUUUACACUUGAAUGCUUACUCCCAAAACAAACCUUACAGCUUUGUCCUUCACCAACGGGGUUCUGUGACUUAGGAGGAAUUGAAAAUUCUGGGGUCCUACCUGGGAUCACAGUGCGAAGGGUGACCUGGAGAGGUGGCUCGUCUCCUUAAGCAGCCUCCUUCUUCAUGUUGCUUCUGGGCUGGGAGACACAUCUCCAGAAGAAAGCAUUCUUAGUCAAUUAGGUCAAGUGAUUAUCUGCUUUAAAAAGAAAAUGGCAGGUACCAUAAAUUGAUACUCAGUUAACCACACAGCCACUUUUAGGCUAAGAAAAUAAGCACCUAUACUGGUACAUUGCUUAUUACCAGACUGAUAAGAGCUGCACAGGCAGGAAGGAGUUGAUCUCCCAGACUGGAAAAGGUUAAGUCUUUCUGUUCAAAGAAUAGAAACUCUAAAAGCUUGAUUGUCAUUUGAAUUUUAUUGAAAUCAAAAUGUGAUUUGCAAGUUAAUGACCAGAGGUGCUUGCUUGCGGGUGAUGUGCAGUGACUUUGGUUUUGAGAUGAGUUUUUCAGGAGAGUGUAAAUUACAUUUGUUUUGGUAUUGGUAUUUUUGUUGUCAUAUUUAUUGCCCAUUGUUCCUAGUAAGAGUAGUUUUCUGCUCCUAAUUACCCAAAAGACAAGAAAAAAAAAUAACUAGAAUUUUUUCAAAGGAAAAUGGGGAUGUGUCUUGAAAGCUUCAUUAAUUGCAAAAUGAAGUUAAAUGAAGCAUUCAAUAAAAGUGCUUCUCAGAACCAAUGGAGGAUUUCUCAGAAAGGAGUCCGUUACAGCUGGACUCCGAGGCAGUGGAAAUCCCAGGAACAAAAGCCAAACGCAUGGGAAUCGACUUUCAAAAGAAUCUUCGAAUAUGUACAGCUCAGUCAUUUACAAAUUGGAAUGGGAUCAUAGGAUGUUUUAAAAUCUGGUCAACUAGAAUGGGAUAAUAAAUUUAACUUGCGUGGACCAAACACAUUCAAUUCUAGCUAUUACUGUAUUUUUACUACCAUUUAUUAAGCGUUUUCUGUGAGCUGGGACCUGUGUUUCAUAUCUCCUUGGAUGAUUACAAGGAUUCAGGGCUUUUACAGAAGCCGUUAGUAGGUCAUAGAAGCAUCCAAAUGCUGGUGUUUGGUGUUUUAAGCAAGUACAUUUUGUAGUUACAUGUGAUGUACUAUUUGAUGUGUUUUGAAGCUAACCUAUAAAAGAAUAUUUUCAUGUCAUUGACGUGCUUUAUAAAUUGUAUCUCCCUUCAGGAGGUAGAAAAGAAAGAGAAAGGAAUUUGCUUUCUUUAUUUUUUUAAACCAUGGGCAAGAAUGUGUUUGGGCAAACCAUUUUCAGAGCAAGUAUGAGCCUUGUAUGUAAAUGUGAGUUCUUAAAACUUGGAAACAAUUCUGAUAACUUUCUGGGGUGUUCUUUGGCAUGUGAGAGAAAUAACUUUGUGGGCUGGAAUUUCACUUUAAAGAUCAUCAGAAAUGCAGCUUACAUAUCAUUAUAGGGAGUCCCAUGUUUAAUCCUAACUAUACCUAUGAUAGCCUUACCUGAAAUGAGUUAAUGAAUCAGAUAACAUCAAUACCCUUUUGAUCAACUACAAACAUAAGUUUCCCUGAGAAGUAUUAAGCUAACCUUCAGCAACAGGAACUGUAGACUACAGUCAAGUUAUAAUUCCGAAAAUUGAUAAAUUUAAUAAUAUUGGUUGCUACAUUGCACUAAUUUUGUUUGAUCUCUUUUGUAAGAACAUUUUGUUGGUAUUUAUAUAGAAAGAUACAAUAUGUUAGGGAAAUUGUUAAUGGAGUAUUGGAUAGGGUAAUAAUAAUAAUUGUAAAAAGCUAACUAGCAACAGCUGAACAAAUAGGUCAUCAGCCUCGGGUAGAAAUGUUAUCCUUUCGCUUUUCUGAAUAAGUUAAAAUAACUGGUUUGGGGAAGUAUUCUACAAUAACAUUUCCUCCCAUUCUUUUCAUUUUUUAAUUGUAAAAUGCCUUUAACAUAAAUUUUAUCAUUUUGACUAUUUUUAAGUAUGUAGUUCAAGGGCAGUAAGUAUUUUCACAUUGUUGUAUAGUCAUAACCACCAUCUAUAUGCAGGUAAUUUUUUUCAUUUUUUCAAAUAGAAAUUUGGUAUCUAUUAAACAAUAAGUAGCAAUAACUCUCCAUUCCCCUCUACCUUAACCCCUGGUCUCUAUCAUUCUACUUUCUGUGUGUGAAUUUGACUACUCUACAUAACUCAUAUCAGUGGAACCACCUUUGAGGCUGGCUUGGUUCACUUAGCAUAAUGACUUCAAAGUAUAUCCAUGUUGUGACAUAUAUCACAAUUUUCAUGCUUUUUAAGGUAAAUGUUCAUUUGUAUGUAGUAUUACAGCUGGUUUAUCCAUUCAUUCAUUGAUGGACAGUUGGCUUACCUCCACCUUUCAGAUAUCAAGAAUAAUGUUAUCAUGUUGUCAUAAUAAUGUUAUUAUGAACAAAGAUCUGUUUGCGUCAUUGGUUUCUGUUCUUUGGGGUAUAUACUCAGAUGUGGAAUUUCUGGAUCAAAUGCAAAUUCGAUUUUUAAGGUUUUGAAGAGCCACCAUACUGUUUUCUUCGACAGCGGCACCAUUUGACAUUCCCACCAGCAGUACACAAGAUUUCAGUCUUUCUACCUCCUUACCAAGAUUUAUUCUUUUUUCUAUUUUGUUAAAAAGCCAUAUUAAUUGCUAUGAAGUGAAGCCCCAUUGUGGAUUGUUUUGUAUGUUCCUACUAAUUAGCAAUGUUGAGCAUCCUUUUCUUAUGUGCUUGUUGGCCAUUGUCUUUUUUUGUCUGUUCAGUUGUUGGCCUGCUUGUUGGCUUGUUUUGUUGUUGAAUUGUGGGAGUUCUUUAUACCAGAUGCACAGUUUGCAAGUACUGUCUUUUCUCGAGCCUCAGAGAGGCGUUUCUUCUGCUGAGUGCCUUGUGUGAGGUUAGGACUGAACUAUGUGUAUUUGAUUUAUUUCUAUUAUGAUUAAGGUUGUGAAAUUAGUGAAGCUAAACCUGAACUCAUUUUCCUUAUUGUGUUCUGCUAUGAAAGCUUACAUGCUCUGUGUUGGUCCUGCUGUUCUAAUGACCACAUGGAAUGUUACAGUGAACAGUAUUGUAUGUGUCCUUUGGUGCCUAACGCAUGCAUUUCUUUUGCUGCGUGAUCCUAAGUAAUGAAAUCAUUGCAGGCAGAACAUCAAGCCGUUUUCCGACGCGGUUCUCUCAGUUUACCCACUCGCCAGCAGGGCAUGAGAGUUCCUGCUGCUUUGCAUACUCUCCAAACUUAGAAUUGUCAGGCUCUUUAAUUUUAGCCAUGAUAGAAUCACAUUGUGGGUUUGAUUUGCAUUUCUCUGAUUACUAGUAAUCUUUUCCUGUGUUUAUUGGUUAACCUCUCCUGUGAAGUGCCUCGUCAGGUCCCUUGUCCAUUUUCCCACUGUCUAGCUCAUGAAUUUAUGGGAGUCCCUGACAGUUCCUGGCUAGGAAUCCUUCAUUCAUUAUUUUGUUGGAAAUAUCUUCCCUGGCCUUGUGACUUUUCUUUCUAUUCUCUGAACAGCAUCUUCUGAUGAAAAGGGUUUCUUAACUUUAAUGUAGUCUUAUUUAUCAUUCUUGGUCAAUGCUUGCUGUGUCUUGUUUGGAGAUUUUUCCUACCCUGAAGGCCAUGAAGAUUUUCUUUUAUGUUAAUUUCUACAAGUUGUAUCAUUUGCCUUUCACAUUCACAUCUACAUAAUGCACCUGGAAUUGAAUUAUGUGAAUGAUUUCAGCGUAGGGGGCAGGUUGAGUUUUCUUUUUUCUCACAUGAAGAUGCAGUUGACCCUUCUAUUUUUCUAGAAGGCAAAUCCUUUUAUAUUUUUUUUCUUUCUCUAAUGCUUUUUGGUUUUUGAAUUUUCAAAAAUUAGGUGCCCUUAUAUAUCUGUUCAGGGGCUCUUUAUUCCACUGAUUUGCUUACCUACGCUUGUCUCACCGUCAUAGUGUUGUAGUAAGUCUUGAUAGUGUAAAAGUUAUUUGUGACACUUGUUCACAACCGCAAGGGGGGCUUCAUUCAAGGGGAGACCCUUCUGAUGCAUGCAGGAUCAUCGUAACAGGCUCUGCAGUGGGACACAGAUUGGACUUGACUUUCGCUGUAACAAGGACAAGUGAAGUUUAUAACCAAGGAUCCGGGUGGGGGUCAGUUGGUAGAAAAUCACUGACACGUUACAGCAGGACCGUGGAUGAGCUGCAAUUUGACUGCGCCUGUGGAAUUCAGAAGGCAGGGCUGGGCAGUGCUAGCCUAUGUCUGAAGGGUGGGAGAGUCUACCUCCAUUGACUCUGGUUCUUACUCACAUGAAUUCUACAGGAACGGAGAAGAAGCCAACACACUUGGGAGCCAGAUUCAAGUGUUAUCGAAGAAGUGAAUCUUUACUGAUGUGUUUGUAAAGUAGGAUGAGGCCUGGUUUCAUUUUGUUUGCUUCAAGUGUGUCUUGGUUGUAGUUGACCUUUUGGGCUUUUAUGUAACUUUCAGAAUCAACUUAUCAAGAUCCACAAAAGUAUUUAUGGAGAUUUUGAUUUGAAUAGCAUUCCUUACUGAUAAUUUCUUAAUAGAAACCAUUUCAAGGAAGCAGGUGGGGGCAGGGUCAUGAUAGAAAAACAAAACCAAAGGGAUGAAUGAGCGAAGAUAGACUUAUGCCAUCACCAGCCAAUGUUUAGAGAUCUUAAAAUAUAUCUGUCCUUGCUUUUGAGUGACACAGAGACGCUAAGUGUUUUUCAAGGGACCAUGCCUUCAAGAAUCAAAUAUUUAUCUCCCCAGCAUGUUUCUGUACAGUGGGUACAGUGAAGGAAUAAGUUGUCCCAAGUUCCCAUGUUAGAGUUGGUUCUGCAAAUAUGGCUACUUAAAAAAUUUUACACCCUUCCUUUCCCUGGCCUGGUUCCCUUUUUCUGCCCUGUUACCUGGACAAGGGUGGUGCGUGAGAAAGUUGGUCGAUGGGAAAAAGAGCCCAAGAAGUGGGGGGUGGAAUUUCCUGAUUCCCAGGGAAGCUGAGCCCUUUUGUAAGAACAAACUUUACUGUGUUUGUUUCUUCCUUUAUUCACCAACAGAUAUUAAUAAGUGCCUUUUGUUGUCAGACACUGUUCCUGGUUGUGGGGGAACGAGGCAGGCAAAAGCCAUUGGUUUCUGUGCUUAAUUCUAAUUGUCAUGAAAGUCAAUAAACAGUUAAAUGUGAAAUUCAGUGUUGGGCAAUGAUAAAUUGUCUAGCAAAGAAAAGAGUGGACCGGGAGUGUUAGAAAGAAGCAAGGAGGGAGUCUUGUGGGAAUAAGAAGCCUCAUGGGUAUUUAGCAGUGGACUUUCUAGACAGAAGGCAAGUUGAAGGCCCUGAGCCAGAACCUGACAUGGUCAGAGAGCAGUGAAGGGUGGCAGAGUAAGGUAGGGAAAAUG